UAUGUGAUCGUCUCUCGCAUAUCAAUAAGCGGAGGAAAAGAAACUAACAAGGAUUCCCCUAGUAACGGCGAGUGAAGCGGGAAGAGCUCAAAUUUGAAAUCUUAAAGGGUUUCCCUUUACGAAUUGUAGUUUAAAGAAGUGUUUUCUGUUGAGGUUUUGGUAAAAGUUCUUUGGAAUAGGACAUCAUAGAGGGUGAGAAUCCCGUAUUUGACCUUUACUUUCAACUUUGUGAUACACUUUCAAAGAGUCGGAUUGUUUGGGAAUGCAGUCCAAAAUGGGUGGUAAAUUUCAUCUAAAGCUAAAUAUUGGCGAGAGACCGAUAGCGAACAAGUACCGUGAGGGAAAGAUGAAAAGAACUUUGAAAAGAGAGUUAAACAGUACGUGAAAUUGUCAAAAGGGGAAGCGUUUGACACCAGUGUUGUUUUUCUGAAAAUCAGUUAAAGAACUGUUUAUGCUAAGUUGUUUAGACUUUAUCAGCUAAUCUGUUCAGUUUUGAGCUUUUCUUUAAUGCACUUUUCAGUUAACAAGUCAAUAUCAAUUUCUUUUGCUGUAAAAAAGCUUGAGGAAGGUGGCUUGAGAUUCGUCUUAAGUGUUUAUAGCCUCUUGCCUAUGCAGUCGGAGAGAUUGAGGUCUGCAGCGUAGAUCCUUCGGGGCUAAAUGCAUUUGUGCUAAGUUAUAGCAUUUUAUAGACAACUUGUUGACUAUGAUUUGUCUUGUAGCUUACUCGCUUAUGUUAUUUUACCUACGCUUAGGAUGUUGAUCUACAGAGCGAGAGU
rnacentral:rRNA from 1 species